AGAUUGAACGCUGGCGGCAGGCCUAACACAUGCAAGUCGAGCGGUAGAGGAGGUGCUUGCAUCUCUUGAGAGCGGCGGACGGGUGAGUAAUGCCUAGGAAUCUGCCUAGUGGUGGGGGAUAACGUUCGGAAACGGACGCUAAUACCGCAUACGUCCUACGGGAGAAAGCGGGGGACCUUCGGGCCUCGCGCCAUUAGAUGAGCCUAGGUCGGAUUAGCUAGUUGGUGAGGUAAUGGCUCACCAAGGCGACGAUCCGUAACUGGUCUGAGAGGAUGAUCAGUCACACUGGAACUGAGACACGGUCCAGACUCCGUAAGGAGGCAGCAGGUGGGGAAAUAGUUGGACAAAGUGGGGACGAAAAGCCUAGACUCCGAGCCAUAGCCGCGUGU
rnacentral:rRNA from 1 species